rnacentral:ncRNA from 2 species
UGACGAUGGACGGGAGAGACCGCAACGCCAAUUAAGGUGGCGGCACCGAAGGAGCAAUUCGUUACACCUGCCGGUUAACGAGUAAUCUCUCAGGUAAAAGUACCGCUGUCUGACG